rnacentral:rRNA from 1 species
GACGAACGCUGGCGGCGUGCCUAAUACAUGCAAGUAGAACGCUGAAGGAGGAGCUUGCUUCUCUGGUUGAGUUGCGAACGGGUGAGUAACGCGUAGGUAACCUGCCUGGUAGUGGGGGAUAACUUUUGGAAACGAUAGCUAAUACCGCAUAAGAGCAGAUGUUGCAUGACAUUUGUUUGAAAGGUUCAAUUGCAUCGCUAGCAGAUGGACCUGCGUUGUAUUUGCUUGUUGGUGGGGUAACGCCUCACCAAGGCGACGAUCCAUAGCCGACAUGAGACGGGGAUCAGCCACACUGAGACUGUGACACGGCCCAGACGGCUACGGGAAGGAGCAGUAGGGAAACGGCGGCAAUGGACGGAAGUCAGAGCGAGCAACGCCGCGGGAGGGAAGAAGGACGUCGGGUCGUAGAUCUCGGUUGUAAGGGAGGAACGAGUGUGAGAGUGGAAAGUACACAGUGUGACGGUAUCUGACCAGAAAGCAACGGCUAACUACGUG